UGGUAAUAUUUAUUGUGAUUCAUCGUUUCAGGACGCUCAGGGUGUGGCAAAGGUGACAAGAAAAAAACAGAGUGCGAAAUGUUUGCUAAAUGUUGGUGGACGCCUGCGAGGGUCGGUCUUACGAGCGGGUUUACAAGUUUGACUGUAUUUUUCAUCCUAUGUUGUCUUGGGUGGAAAUAUUGUUGCGCGCCGAGAGCUAAAGUUGGGUAUGAACAAGAUGACGACGACGAAGAAGUUUACAAUUACGACGGCAAAGUUGGUGCUGUUCACAAUAUCAUGAAAAACCACAACAUAGACCACAUGCCGGCCGAACAUCCAGCCCCACAGGGAAUUAAUUCGAUAAUCCUGAACAAGCGGGAUAACUCGUGGAUGACUCCUGAAGAACUUAGUUUCAGUGCCAGAUACGCGUACAAGCACUAAACACUGCAUAACAAUUAUAAAACACUGCAUUACAAU